rnacentral:rRNA from 1 species
UACGAAGGGGGCUAGCGUUGCUCGGAAUUACUGGGCGUAAAGCGCACGUAGGCGGUCUUUAAGUCGGGGUGAAAUCCUGGAGCUCAACUCCAGAACUGCCUUCGAUACUGGAAGACUUGAGUCCGGGAGAGGUGAGUGGAACUGCGAGUGUAGAGGUGAAAUUCGUAGAUAUUCGCAAGAACACCAGUGGCGAAGGCGGCUCACUGGCCCGGUACUGACGCUGAUGCGCGAAAGCGUGGGAGCAAC